rnacentral:rRNA from 1 species
GGAGCCGACCUUGAAAUACCACCCUUUAAUGUUUGAUGUUCUAACGUGGACCCGUAAUCCGGGUUGCGGACAGUGUCUGGUGGGUAGUUUGACUGGGGCGGUCUCCUCCUAAAGAGUAACGGAGGAGCACGAAGGUUGGCUAAUCCUGGUCGGACAUCAGGAGGUUAGUGCAAUGGCAUAAGCCAGCUUGACUGCGAGCGUGACGGCGCGAGCAGGUGCGAAAGCAGGUCAUAGUGAUCCGGUGGUUCUGAAUGGAAGGGCCAUCGCUCAACGGAUAAAAGGUACUCCGGGGAUAACAGGCUGAUACCGCCCAAGAGUUCAUAUCGACGGCGGUGUUUGGCACCUCGAUGUCGGCUCAUCACAUCCUGGGGCUGAAGUAGGUCCCAAGGGUAUGGCUGUUCGCCAUUUAAAGUGGUACGCGAGCUGGGUUUAGAACGUCGUGAGACAGUUCGGUCCCUAUCUGCCGUGGGCGCUGGAGAAUUGAGGGGGGCUGCUCCUAGUACGAGAGGACCGGAGUGGACGCAUCACUGGUGUUCGGGUUGUCAUGCCAAUGGCACUGCCCGGUAGCUAAAUGCGGAAGAGAUAAGUGCUGAAAGCAUCUAAGCACGAAACUUGCCCCGAGAUGAGUUCUCCCUGACUCCUUGAGAGUCCUGAAGGAACGUUGAAGACGACGACGUUGAUAGGCCGGGUGUGUAAGCGCAGCGAUGCGUUGAGCUAACCGGUACUAAUGAACCGUGAGGCUUAACCUUACAACGCCGAAG